GACAGAGGGUGCAAACGUUGUUCGGAAUUACUGGGCGUAAAGCGUGUGUAGGCGGCCAUGUAAGUCGGAUGUGAAAGCCCCGGGCUCAACCCGGGAAGUGCACUCGAUACUGCGUGGCUUGAGUAUCGGAGAGGUUGGUGGAAUUCUCGGUGUAGAGGUGAAAUUCGUAGAUAUAUGGAAGAACACCAAUAACGGCGAAGGAAGUUAACUAUUCUGUUACUGACAUUGAGGCACGAAAGCGUGGGGAGCAAAACGG
rnacentral:rRNA from 1 species